GCGUGCCUAAUACAUGCAAGUCGAGCGAACGGACGAGAAGCUUGCUUCUCUGAUGUUAGCGGCGGACGGGUGAGUAACACGUGGAUAACCUACCUAUAAGACUGGGAUAACUUCGGGAAACCGGAGCUAAUACCGGAUAAUAUUUUGAACCGCAUGGUUCAAAAGUGAAAGACGGUCUUGCUGUCACUUAUAGAUGGAUCCGCGCUGCAUUAGCUAGUUGGUAAGGUAACGGCUUACCAAGGCAACGAUGCAUAGCCGACCUGAGAGGGUGAUCGGCCACACUGGAACUGAGACACGGUCCAGACUCCUACGGGAGGCAGCAGUAGGGAAUCUUCCGCAAUGGGCGAAAGCCUGACGGAGCAACGCCGCGUGAGUGAUGAAGGUCUUCGGAUCGUAAAACUCUGUUAUUAGGGAAGAACAUAUGUGUAAGUAACUGUGCACAUCUUGACGGUACCUAAUCAGAAAGCCACGGCUAACUACGUGCCAGCAGCCGCGGUAAUACGUAGGUGGCAAGCGUUAUCCGGAAUUAUUGGGCGUAAAGCGCGCGUAGGCGGUUUUUUAAGUCUGAUGUGAAAGCCCACGGCUCAACCGUGGAGGGUCAUUGGAAACUGGAAAACUUGAGUGCAGAAGAGGAAAGUGGAAUUCCAUGUGUAGCGGUGAAAUGCGCAGAGAUAUGGAGGAACACCAGUGGCGAAGGCGACUUUCUGGUCUGUAACUGACGCUGAUGUGCGAAAGCGUGGGGAUCAAACAGGAUUAGAUACCCUGGUAGUCCACGCCGUAAACGA
rnacentral:rRNA from 1 species